rnacentral:misc_RNA from 1 species
AAGUCGUAACAAGGUUUCUGUAGGUGAACCUGCGGAAGGAUCAUUAAAAGAAUCUGCCUCACCCACAGAUAUCUUAUCACGUGUGAACUGUCUAGCUUGUCACCCGAGAUGGACACCUCAGAGAUCUCGGUCUUUGGGGGGUCUGUCUUGGGGGUCAGCUUAUGCUACUGAUUGUGCCCCGAGAAUCUUUAAAAGACUAUAAAACUUUUAGCAAUGGAUCUCUAGGCUCCU